AUUGAACGCUAGCGGCAGGCUUAACACAUGCAAGUCGAACGAGUGGCGGACGGGUGAGUAAUGCUUGGGAAUCUAGCUUAUGGAGGGGGAUAACUACGGGAAACUGUAGCUAAUCCCGCGUACCAUAGGAUGAGCCCAAGUGGGAUUAGGUAGUAGGUGAGGUAAAGGCUCACCAAGCCGACGAUCUCUCGCAUGUCUGAUGGGAUGACCAGCCACACUGGGACUGAGCCACGGCCCAGACUCCUACGGGAGGCAGCAGUGGGGAAUAUUGCACAAUGGGCGCAAGCCUGAUGCAGCCAUGCCGCGUGUGUGAAGAAGGCCUUCGGGUUGUAAAGCACUUUCAGCGAGGAGGCGUGACUCGCAGAAGAAGCACCGGCUAACUCCGUGCCAGCAGCCGCGGUAAUUC
rnacentral:rRNA from 1 species